rnacentral:lncRNA from 1 species
AGAAGAACCGUUCCCUGAGCCAUAGGCAACAACCUUGGUAAUCGGAGUUCUUAAAAAAAAUUAGAAAUUCCGUGAUGGGAAAACCACUCCUGACCUGCGUCACAAAAUUGGAUUUUCUGACGGUUAUAUACAAUUCUUAAAACAGAUCAAUACUAUACCGUUAAGAUAUUCUUUGAGAAAGCAGGACAUAAAACAGUGCGUCAAAGCUAUGAAAACAGUGUUAGAAAGUUCUUCUUCUGUUC